AUAGCGCACGAAUCGUGUGGGUGAGUAACCUGCGUUCAGGUUCGACAAAAUUGCUCCGUCAAUUUUGGGCAGCGCUUGCGCUGGCCCGAAGGGCGAGGCCAAAGGCCGAAUCAAUCCCGCACGACCCACCA
rnacentral:sRNA from 1 species